GGUGAACGCUGGCGGCGUGCUUAAGACAUGCAAGUCGAACGGGCUCUUCGGAGCUAGUGGCGCACGGGUGAGUAACGCGUAACUGACCUACCCCAAAGUCGCGGAUAACGAUUCGAAAGAAUCGCUAAUACGUGAUGUGCUGUCAGAUCCUGUUCUGCCAGUAAAGAUUUAUUGCUUUGGGAUGGGGUUGCGUUCCAUCAGCUAGUGGGUGGGGUAAAGGCCCACCAAGGCGACGACGGAUAGCCGGCCUGAGAGGGUGGCCGGCCACAGGGGCACUGAGACACGGGUCCCACUCCUACGGGAGGCAGCAGUUAGGAAUCUUCCACAAUGGGCGAAAGCCUGAUGGAGCGACGCCGCGUGAGGGAUGAAGGUCUUCGGAUCGUAUACCUCUGAAUCAGGGACGAAAGACACUUUAUGUGGGAUGACGGUACCUGAGUAAUAGCACCGGCUAACUCCGUGCCAGCAGCCGCCGUAAUAC
rnacentral:rRNA from 1 species